rnacentral:rRNA from 1 species
GACGAACGCUGGCGGCGUGCCUAAUACAUGCAAGUCGAACGAGAGCGACCGGUGCUUGCACUGGUCAAUCUAGUGGCGGACGGGUGAGUAACACGUGGGUAACCUGCCCAUCAGAGGGGGAUAACAUUCGGAAACGGAUGCUAAAACCGCAUAGGUCCUUUAACCGCAUGGUUGAAGGAGGAAAAGAGGCGCAAGCUUCUGCUGAUGGAUGGACCCGCGGUGCAUUAGCUAGUUGGUGAGGUAACGGCUCACCAAGGCCGUGAUGCAUAGCCGACCUGAGAGGGUGAUCGGCCACAUUGGGACUGAGACACGGCCCAAACUCCUACGGGAGGCAGCAGUAGGGAAUCUUCCGCAAUGGACGCAAGUCUGACGGAGCAACGCCGCGUGAGUGAAGAAGGUUUUCGGAUCGUAAAACUCUGUUGUUAGAGAAGAACAAGUGCUAGAGUAACUGUUAGCGCCUUGACGGUAUCUAACCAGAAAGCCACGGCUAACUACGUGCCAGCAGCCGCGGUAAUACGUAGGUGGCAAGCGUUGUCCGGAUUUAUUGGGCGUAAAGCGAGCGCAGGCGGUUCCUUAAGUCUGAUGUGAAAGCCCCCGGCUCAACCGGGGAGGGUCAUUGGAAACUGGGGAACUUGAGUGCAGAAGAGGAGAGUGGAAUUCCAUGUGUAGCGGUGAAAUGCGUAGAUAUAUGGAGGAACACCAGUGGCGAAGGCGACUCUCUGGUCUGUAACUGACGCUGAGGCUCGAAAGCGUGGGUAGCAAACAGGAUUAGAUAUCCUGGUAGUCCACGCCGUAAACGAUGAGUGCUAAGUGUUGGAGGGUUUCCGCCCUUCAGUGCUGC